rnacentral:tmRNA from 1 species
GGGGCUGAUUCUGGAUUCGACGGGAUUUGCGAAACCCAAGGUGCAUGCCGAGGGGCGGUUGGCCUCGUAAAAAGCCGCAAAAAAAUAGUCGCAAACGACGAAAACUACGCUUUAGCAGCUUAAUAACCUGCUUAGAGCCCUCUCUCCCUAGCCUCCGCUCUUAGGACGGGGAUCAAGAGAGGUCAAACCCAAAAGAGAUCGCGCGGAUGCCCUGCCUGGGGUUGAAGCGUUAAAACGAAUCAGGCUAGUCUGGUAGUGGCGUGUCCGUCCGCAGGUGCCAGGCGAAUGUAAAGACUGACUAAGCAUGUAGUACCGAGGAUGUAGGAAUUUCGGACGCGGGUUCAACUCCCGCCAGCCCACCA